GAUGAACGCUGGCGGCGUGCCUAAUACAUGCAAGUCGAGCGAACAGACGAGGAGCUUGCUCCUCUGACGUUAGCGGCGGACGGGUGAGUAACACGUGGAUAACCUACCUAUAAGACUGGGAUAACUUCGGGAAACCGGAGCUAAUACCGGAUAAUAUAUUGAACCGCAUGGUUCAAUAGUGAAAGACGGUUUUGCUGUCACUUAUAGAUGGAUCCGCGCCGCAUUAGCUAGUUGGUAAGGUAACGGCUUACCAAGGCGACGUUGCGUAGCCGACCUGAGAGGGUGAUCGGCCACACUGGAACUGAGACACGGUCCAGACUCCUACGGGAGGCAGCAGUAGGGAAUCUUCCGCAAUGGGCGAAAGCUUGACGGAGCAACGCCGCGUGAGUGAUGAAGGUCUUCGGAUCGUAAAACUCUGUUAUUAGGGAAGAACAAAUGUGUAAGUAACUAUGCACGUCUUGACGGUACCUAAUCAGAAAGCCACGGCUAACUACGUG
rnacentral:rRNA from 1 species